rnacentral:rRNA from 1 species
CGCUAUCACUCCUACGGGAGGCAGCAGUGGGGAAUCUUGGACAAUGGGCGCAAGCCUGAUCCAGCCAUGCCGCGUGAGUGAAGAAGGCCCUAGGGUCGUAAAACUCUUUCGCCAGGGAUGAUAAUGACAGUACCUGGUAAAGAAACCCCGGCUAACUCCGUGCCAGCAGCCGCGGUAAUACGGAGGGGGUUAGCGUUGUUCGGAAUUACUGGGCGUAAAGCGUACGUAGGCGGAUUAGUCAGUCAGAGGUGAAAUCCCAGGGCUCAACCCUGGAACUGCCUUUGAUACUGCUAGUCUUGAGUUCGAGAGAGGUGAGUGGAAUUCCAAGUGUAGAGGUGAAAUUCGUAGAUAUUUGGAGGAACACCAGUGGCGAAGGCGGCUCACUGGCUCGAUACUGACGCUGAGGUACGAAAGUGUGGGGAGCAAACAGGAUUAGAUACCCUGGUAG